GACGAACGCUGGCGGCGUGCUUAACACAUGCAAGUCGAACGGAAAGGCCUCUUUCGGGGGGUACUCGAGUGGCGAACGGGUGAGUAACACGUGAGUAACCUGCCCUUGACUUUGGGAUAACUUCAGGAAACUGGGGCUAAUACCGGAUAGGAGCUCCUGCUGCACGGUGGGGGUUGGAAAGUUUCGGCGGUUGGGGAUGGACUCGCGGCUUAUCAGCUUGUUGGUGGGGUAGUGGCUUACCAAGGCUUUGACGGGUAGCCGGCCUGAGAGGGUGACCGGCCACAUUGGGGCUGAGGUACGGCCCAGACUCCUACGGGAGGCAGCAGUGGGGAAUAUUGCAAAAUGGGUGGAAGCCUGAUGCAGCAAAGCCGUGUGCGGGAUGACGGCCUUCGGGUUGUAAACCGCUUUCGCUCAUGACGAAGCUUUGUGUGACGGUAGUGGGUAAAGAAGCACCGGCUAACUACGUG
rnacentral:rRNA from 1 species